rnacentral:rRNA from 1 species
GAUGAACGCUGGCGGCGUGCCUAAUACAUGCAAGUCGAGCGAACAGAUGAGGAGCUUGCUCCUCUGACGUUAGCGGCGGACGGGUGAGUAACACGUGGAUAACCUACCUAUAAGACUGGGAUAACUUCGGGAAACCGGAGCUAAUACCGGAUAAUAUAUUGAACCGCAUGGUUCAAUAGUGAAAGACGGUUUUGCUGUCACUUAUAGAUGGAUCCGCGCCGCAUUAGCUAGUUGGUAAGGUAACGGCUUACCAAGGCAACGAUGCGUAGCCGACCUGAGAGGGUGAUCGGCCACACUGGAACUGAGACACGGUCCAGACUCCUACGGGAGGCAGCAGUAGGGAAUCUUCCGCAAUGGGCGAAAGCCUGACGGAGCAACGCCGCGUGAGUGAUGAAGGUCUUCGGAUCGUAAAACUCUGUUAUUAGGGCAGAACAAAUGUGUAAGUAACUAUGCACGUCUUGACGGUACCUAAUCAGAAAGCCACGGCUAACUACGUG